rnacentral:tRNA from 1 species
GGUUCCAUAGUGGAGUGGUUAGUAGGUCUGUUUUACAUGCAGAAGGUCCUGGAUUUGUGCCCCAGUGGAGCCA